GGGGCUGAAAGGAUUUCUACAUUUUGAUAUUUUAAUUAUUUUUUAUUUGACUGGUUAGAUGUAUUAAUUUACUAUAUAUCUAGUAUAUUUAUGUUUUUAAUUAUAUUAAAAACAUAAUUAUAAUUUAAUUGCAAAACACAAUAUUAUUUCUUUUUCUAAAAAUUUCGUAAUAGCAUAAAUUGUUAGAAUUUUAAAUUGUAUUUUCUAGAUUCAAUUUAUUGACUUAUUAAAAGAAUGCUCUAAUUUGAAGAUAGUAUCUGAUUUAUUGCUAUUAUUUUUUUCAUAAUUAGUAAAGUUUGAAAUUAAAUCAAUUUAAAGGUUCAAUGAAAAUUUUUUAGUUAAGUAGUACUCAAUUAAUUUUUAUAUCAAUAUGGACGUGGGUUCAAAUCCCACCAGUUCCA
rnacentral:tmRNA from 1 species